CCUACGGGUGGCAGCAGUAGGGAAUUUUCGUCAAUGGGCGCAAGCCUGAACGAGCGAUGCCGCGUGAGUGAAGAAGGCCUUCGGGUCGUAAAGCUCUGUUGCGGGGGAAAAAAGGCAGCAUCAGGAAAUGGGUGCUGACUGAUGGUGCCCUGCCAGAAAGUCACGGCUAACUAAGUGCCAGCAGCCGCGGUAAUACGUAGGUGGCGAGCGUUAUCCGGAAAGGUUGGGCGGAAAGGGUGGGCAGGCGGUCCAGCAAGCCUGGAGUGAAACGCACGGGCUCAACUCAUGCAUGGCUUUGGAAACUGGAGGACUGGAGAGCGGGAGAGGGAGGUGGAACUCCAUGUGUAGCGGUAAAAUGCGUAGAUAUAUGGAAGAACACCAGUGGCGAAGGCGGCCGCCUGGCCUGUUGCUGACGCUGAGGCACGAAAGCGUGGGGAGCAAAUAGGAUUAGAUACCCGAGUAGUC
rnacentral:rRNA from 1 species